rnacentral:rRNA from 1 species
AUGUCGUCGUCAUCGUCGUCCUCGGCGGCGGCGGGCUCCGCGCUGGGCGGCUCCCACGCCGGCCUCGCCCUCGCCGCCACCGCCAUGGCGCUCUCCGGCACCCUCGUCCUCUUCUCGCUCUGCCGCGCCAAGCAGACGGACCACCACCUCGUCUCCUCCGACGCUUCCGCCGUCACGUCGCCGUCUCCCGCCAGGCUCCGGCCCUGCCUCUCCUCCUCCGAGAAGCGGAAGCGGGAGAAGGCGCGGCGCGGGAGCAUGAAGCGGGUGCGCUUCGCCGCCGACGUCGUCGAACACGGCCCAGCCCGCCCGGCGCCGGAGGAGGAGGAGGCGGCGGCGGCGCCCGAGCCGUCCUGCAGGGGCGCCGCGAUGCCGGCGAACCGGGAGGCGCUGUACCGCGGCAUGCUCCGCGGCCGCUCCAUGCUAAGGACCGCCUGCUCCUACUGA